GAUGAACGCUGGCGGCGUGCCUAAUACAUGCAAGUCGAGCGAACAGACGAGGAGCUUGCUCCUCUGACGUUAACGGCGGACGGGUGAGUAACACGUGGAUAACCUACCUAUAAGACUGGGAUAACUUCGGGAAACCGGAGCUAAUACCGGAUAAUUUAUUGCACCGCAUGGUUCAAUAGUGAAAGACGGUUUUGCUGUCACUUCUAGAUGGAUCCGCGCCGCAUUAGCUAGUUGGUAAGGUAACGGCUUACCAAGGCAACGAUGCGUAGCCGACCUGAGAGGGUGAUCGGCCACACUGGAGCUGAGACACGGUCCAGACUCCUACGGGAGGCAGCAGUAGGGAAUCUUCCGCAAUGGGCGAAAGCCUGACGGAGCAACGCCGCGUGAGUGAUGAAGGUCUUCGGAUCGUAAAACUCUGUUAUUAGGGAAGAACAAAUGUGUAAGUAACUAUGCACGUCUUGACGGUACCUAAUCAGAAAGCCACGGCUAACUACGUG
rnacentral:rRNA from 1 species